rnacentral:rRNA from 1 species
GAUGAACGCUGGCGGCGUGCCUAAUACAUGCAAGUCGAGCGAACAGACGAGGAGCUUGCUCCUCUGACGUUAGCGGCGGACGGGUGAGUAACACGUGGAUAACCUACCUAUAAGACUGGGAUAACUUCGGGAAACCGGAGCUAAUACCGGAUAAUAUAUUGAACCGCAUGGUUCAAUAGUGAAAGACGGUUUUGCUGUCACUUAUAGAUGGAUCCGCGCCGCAUUAGCUAGUUGGUAAGGUAACGGCUUACCAAGGCAACGAUGCGUAGCCGACCUGAGAGGGGGAUCGGCCACACUGGAACUGAGACACGGUCCAGACUCCUACGGGAGGCAGCAGUAGGGAAUCUUCCGCAAUGGGCGAAAGCCUGACGGAGCAACGCCGCGUGAGUGAUGAAGGUCUUCGGAUCGGAAAGCUCUGUUAUUAGGGAAGAACAAAUGUGUAAGUAACUAUGCACGUCUUGACGGUACCUAAUCAGAAAGCCACGGCUAACUACGUG